rnacentral:tRNA from 1 species
AUCAGAAGAGCAAGGUGAAAAUGCAAAAGAUUUAGGUUCUUUUAUUAAAGGUUAAAUUCCUUUUUUUGAUA